UAUUUUUCUCCACCUCUAAUAAGUCGACGCAUUCGACUUUUUGCUACUUUUGAUUUUGGUAACUGUUGCUUUCUUAACAAGAAUAUACACAUCGUGGAAGUCACCUGCACCUGCCAUCGCGCUUCUUUGCUGCUGGACUCACACGUUUUCAGCCAGUCGAGAGUUUAGCAAUAUGCAAUAUAUGCAAAAAAUCUCUUAAAAACUAUAGACUUUCAUGAGAGCAUAUUGUUGGCAAGUUAAAUCCCAGAUUUUUAGAUGUGGCCAUUGACACCUUGCAACGCUUUGAAAAUAAAAAUGAGUAAAUUAUCAAUUAUGUUUUUAUUAUGUUUAAUGUUUUUAUUUUUUGGUAUGAUUUGAUUUUCAUUUUCGGACCUCCGAACAUUUUUGGAAAUCGACAAAAGCAGCAGCUUUGACUUAUGCUCAUGAUCGAAAGCAACAGCAAGGCAGAAAGCAAGAAAUCCAUAAGCGGCGGCUGCUGCUGAUUUUUGAUUUUGGUUACUAUUUGAUUUUUACCUUUGCUUCGACUGCGACUUUUGCAUUUUCAGAAGCAAAAGCAAAAUCAUAUAAGAUGAAACUUACAACAGUUUUUCAAACACUCGUUUUUAGCCAGGAUUAAGGAAGUUAGUAGGCCUCAGCACGACAAAUAAGCAUAAGAUACGGAUUGCGAAGGUAGGCACUGAUAUGUCAUAAAAAGAUGAGGAAG